rnacentral:rRNA from 1 species
UUUGGAUNCCGUUAGGGGAACUAAUCCCCAAGAGGGUCUCAGCUGGGAUUGAAGUCUNCAACUCGACUUCAUGAAGUUGGAAUCGCUAGUAAUCGCGGAUCAGAACACCNCGGUGAAUACGUUCCCGGGUCUUGUACACACCGCCCGUCACAUCACGAAAGUAGGUUGUACUAGAAGUAGGAGGCCUAACUCGCAAGAGGGGCAUCUUACCACGGUAUGAUUUAUGAUUGGGGUGAAGUCGUAACAAGGUUACC